rnacentral:rRNA from 1 species
UACAGAGGGGGCUAGCGUUGUUCGGAAUUACUGGGCGUAAAGGGCGCGUAGGUGGCCUGUUAAGUCGAACGUGAAAUCCCCGGGCUCAACCCGGGAACUGCGUCCGAGACUGGCAGGCUCGAAUCCGGGAGAGGGAUGUGGAAUUCCAGGUGUAGCGGUGAAAUGCGUAGAUAUCUGGAGGAACACCGGUGGCGAAGGCGGCGUUCUGGACUGCAUCUGACACUGAGGAACGAAAGCCAGGGGAGCAAACGGG